AUUGAACGCUGGCGGCAGGCCUAACACAUGCAAGUCGAACGAGUGGCGGACGGGUGAGUAAUGUCUGGGAAACUGCCUGAAGGAGGGGGAUAACUACUGGAAACGGUAGCUAAUACCGCAUACCAUCGGCUUUGCCCAGAGUGGAUGAGCUAGUAGGUGGGUUAAAGGCUCACCUAGUCGACGAUCCCUAGCUGGUCGGAGAGGAUGACCAGCCACACUGGAACUGCGACACGGUCCAGACUCCUACGGGAGGCAGCAGUGGGGAAUAUUGCACAAUGGGCGCAAGCCGGAUGCAGCCAUGCCGCGUGUAUGAAGAAGGCCUUCGGGUCGUAAAGUACUUUCAUCGGGGAGGCGUUACCCGCAGAAGAAGCACCGGCUAACUCCGUGCCAGCAGCCGCGGUAAUAC
rnacentral:rRNA from 1 species